rnacentral:rRNA from 1 species
UUGGCUCAGGAUGAACGCUGGCGGCGCACAUAAGACAUGCAAGUCGAACGGAAGCCGUUAUAAAAAAGAUUGAAGAUUUAUCUGAUUGAAAUUUUAUAACAAUGACUUUAGUGGCGGACUGGUGAGUAAUACAUGAGCAACCUGCCUAUUAGAGGGGAACAACAGUUAGAAAUGACUGCUAAUACCGCAUAUGCCAUAUGAAUCACAUGGUUCAAGUGGGAAAGGAGCAAUCCGCUAAUAGAUGGGCCCAUGGCUGAUUAGCUAGUUGGUGGGGUAAUGGCCUACCAAGGCGACGAUCAGUAGCCGGACUGAGAGGUUAAACGGCCACAUUGGGACUGAGACACGGCCCAGACUCCUACGGGAGGCAGCAGUGGGGAAUA